rnacentral:misc_RNA from 1 species
GAUGAAGAACGUAGCGAAAUGCGAUAAGUAAUGUGAAUUGCAGAAUUCAGUGAAUCAUCGAAUCUUUGAACGCACAUUGCGCCCCUUGGUAUUCCGAGGGGCAUGCCUGUUCGAGCGUCAUUAUAACCCCUCAAGCUCGGCUUGGUGUUUGGGCCUGCCGCACGGGCAGCCCUUAAAAUCAGUGGCGGUGCCAUCUGGCUCUAAGCGUAGUAAUUCUUCUCGCUAUAGAGUCCCGGUGGAUGCUUGCCAUUAACCCCCAAUUUCAAUGGUUGACCUCGGAUCAGGUAGGGAUACCCGCUGAACUUAAGCAUAUCAAUAAGCGGAGGA